AGUAAAGUCAGCUAAAUAAGCUUUCGGGCCCAUACCCCGAACAUGUUGGUUAAAACCCCUCCUUUACUG
rnacentral:tRNA from 1 species